UGGGCAGAACCAAUGAAAGACUCCAGACCUGGCAAGGAACUAAGAAGACUGACUUUGUGGAAUCCUUGAAAUUGGGAGAGGCAGAAGGACACUCAAAUCUAUCUGUCAGGCGAAUUUGACAACAAGAUGAACAUCGGCAGUUUGAUUCAUACCGGAAGAACAGGAGGAACUCUACAGAGACUGGACUUCAGCCUGGUGUUUGAGGAAAACACAGGUUAAUAAGGAAAUCCAAAUAAAGCACACAGCCUGAAAGCUUAAAGGAAAUAGAAUGCCACUUUCACCUUUAGCCGUCUGAUAUUGACAUGAAU